rnacentral:misc_RNA from 1 species
AAACAAUCCAAAAAAAAAUUGAAAAACUAACAACAUCAACAACAAGCAAUUCAUAAAAACUAGAAACAGGAACUAGAUCCCUUGAUUCAAGCAUAAGAAAGUAACAAAAUCCAACAAUCCCAAAAAUGUCAUAAAUUCCAUUAUUGCGCCACAAAUAAUCAAACUGGAAACCACACAAGUAAAAAUAUGACAAAUAAGAAACCAAUCUCUCAGUGAAACGAAAUCAAAACAGCAAGUCGGUGACUUGAGAGGUAACUCUAUGACAUCCAAACCAAGAAU